AGUGAACGCUGGCGGUAGGCCUAACACAUGCAAGUCGAACGGCAGCACAGGAGAGCUUGUUCUCUGGGUGGCGAGUGGCGGACGGGUGAGGAAUACAUCGGAAUCUACUCUGUCGUGGGGGAUAACGUGGGGAAACUUACGCUAAUACCGCAUACGACCUACGGGUGAAAGCAGGGGACCUUCGGGCCUUGCGCGAUUGAAUGAGCCGAUGUCGGAUUAGCUAGUUGGCGGGGUAAAGGCCCACCAAGGCGACGAUCCGUAGCUGGUCUGAGAGGAUGAUCAGCCACACUGGAACUGAGACACGGUCCAGACUCCUACGGGAGGCAGCAGUGGGGAAUAUUGGACAAUGGGCGCAAGCCUGAUCCAGCCAUACCGCGUGGGUGAAGAAGGCCUUCGGGUUGUAAAGCCCUUUUGUUGGGAAAGAAAUCCAGCUGGCUAAUACCCGGUUGGGAUGACGGUACCCAAAGAAUAAGCACCGGCUAACUUCGUGCCAGCAGCCGCGGUAA
rnacentral:rRNA from 1 species